rnacentral:rRNA from 1 species
AACGAACGCUGGCGGCAGGCUUAACACAUGCAAGUCGAACGCUCGUAGCAAUACGGGAGUGGCGGACGGGUGAGUAACGCGUGGGAACGUGCCCUGAGGUACGGAAUAACUGAGGGAAACUUCAGCUAAUACCGUAUGAGCCCCGAGAGGGGAAAGAUUAUCGCCUUGGAGCGCCCGCGUCGGAUUAGCUAGUUGGUGGGGUAACGGCCUACCAAGGCUUCGAUCCGUAGCUGGUCUGAGAGGACGAUCAGCCACACUGGGACUGAGACACGGCCCAGACUCCUACGGGAGGCAGCAGUGGGGAAUCUUGCGCAAUGGGGGGCAACCCUGACGCAGCCAUGCCGCGUGAACGAUGAAGGCCUUAGGGUUGUAAAGUUCUUUUACCCGUGACGAUGAUGACGGUAACGGGGGAAUAAGCUCCGGCUAACUUCGUGCCAGCAGCCGCGGUAAAGUACAGUGU